UACAGAGGGUGCGAGCGUUGUCCGGAAUCACUGGGCGUAAAGGGCGCGUAGGUGGCGCGACAAGUCAGUGGUGAAAGCUCGACGCUCAACGUCGAGUCGGCCACUGAGACUGUUGGGGCUUUGAGCACUGUAGAGGCUAUGGAAUUCCGGGUGUAGCGGUGGAAUGCGUAGAGAUCCGGAAGAACACCGGAGGCGAAGGCAGCUCGCUGGGACGGGUACGUGACACUGAGGCGCGAAAGCGUGGGGAGCGACAGG
rnacentral:rRNA from 1 species